rnacentral:lncRNA from 1 species
CAGACCUUUGCUUGGUGAGGUGGAAAGAAGUGGAAAGAGAAAUAGAAACAAACUACCAAUUUUUUUUUUUCUAUGUCAGCAAACUCAGAAUGCAAUUCCCCUGGAACUAAUCUCCAGAGACAAAGUAGACUCCGGUGAAGUGGAGCAAGUCUGCAGGAUUGAAGCUCAGAUAACUCAUCUGCCCACCUCUGAGCUCCCUAAGAGCACACAUGUGGAGAUAAUUGAACCUCUCCAGGGCCCAUGCUCUACGGAGGCAGAGAGUGAAGGCGUGGAGCAUUGUCUCGGCAGCCCGACGCCAUCUGGGGAAUAUAUGCUGAUGUUGCUACAGAUGGCAUGCUGUUCAGUUCACCCCUUGUAAGUUCACAUUCAUUGUUCUCCAUCUGGUUUUCAAAGAUUCAAAAAUUAGUUGAC